GGGAGGAUGGCCGAGUGGUUAAUGGCAGCAGACUGUAAAUCUGCCGAUGUGAGUCUACGGAGGUUCGAAUCCUCCUCCUCCCACCA
rnacentral:tRNA from 1 species